rnacentral:rRNA from 1 species
UAGCUUGCUAAUGAAAUUCUUAGUGGCGGACGGGUUAGUAACACGUGAGAAUCCUACCCUUAAGUGGGGAAUAGCCUUUCGAAAGGAAGAUUAAUGCCCCAUGGUCUCUACGGAGUAAAGAUGCCUUCGGGUGUCGCUUAAGGAUGGGCUCGCGGCCUAUCAGCUAGUUGGUGAGGUAAGAGCUCACCAAGGCAACGACGGGUAGCUGGUCUGAGAGGACGAUCAGCAACACUGGAACUGAGACACGGUCCAGACACCUACGGGUGGCAGCAGUCGAGAAUCAUUCACAAUGGACGAAAGUCUGAUGGUGCAACGCCGCGUGGAGGAUGACGGCCCUAGGGUUGUAAACUCCUGUCAUCAGGGAGUAAGACUUAUUCGUUAAUAGCGUGUAAGUUUGAUAGUACCUGAAGAGGAAGGGACGGCUAACUUCGUGCCAGCAGCCGCGGUAAUACGAAGGUCCCAAGCGUUGUUCGGAAUAACUGGGCGUAAAGCGUGUGUAG